ACGGGUGAGUAAUGCUUAGGAAUCUGCCUAUUAGUGGGGGACAACAUCUCGAAAGGGAUGCUAAUACCGCAUACGUCCUACGGGAGAAAGCAGGGGAUCUUCGGACCUUGCGCUAAUAGAUGAGCCUAAGUCGGAUUAGCUAGUUGGUGGGGUAAAGGCCUACCAAGGCGACGAUCUGUAGCGGGUCUGAGAGGAUGAUCCGCCACACUGGGACUGAGACACGGCCCAGACUCCUACGGGAGGCAGCAGUGGGGAAUAUUGGACAAUGGGGGAACCCUGAUCCAGCCAUGCCGCGUGUGUGAAGAAGGCCUUAUGGUUGUAAAGCACUUUAAGCGAGGAGGAGGCUACUUUAGUUAAUACCUAGAGAUAGUGGACGUUACUCGCAGAAUAAGCACCGGCUAACUCUGUGCCAGCAGCCGCGGUAAUACAGAGGGUGCGAGCGUUAAUCGGAUUUACUGGGCGUAAAGCGUGCGUAGGCGGCUUAUUAAGUCGGAUGUGAAAUCCCCGAGCUUAACUUGGGAAUUGCAUUCGAUACUGGUGAGCUAGAGUAUGGGAGAGGAUGGUAGAAUUCCAGGUGUAGCGGUGAAAUGCGUAGAGAUCUGGAGGAAUACCGAUGGCGAAGGCAGCCAUCUGGCCUAAUACUGACGCUGAGGUACGAAAGCAUGGGGAGCAAACAGGAUUAGAUACCCUGGUAGUCCAUGCCGUAAACGAUGUCUACUAGCCGUUGGGGCCUUUGAGGCUUUAGUGGCGCAGCUAACGCGAUAAGUAGACCGCCUGGGGAGUACGGUCGCAAGACUAAAACUCAAAUGAAUUGACGGGGCCCCGCACAAGCGGUGGAGCAUGUGGUUUAAUUCGAUGCAACGCGAAGAACCUUACCUGGCCUUGACAUACUAGAAACUUUCCAGAGAUGGAUUGGUGCCUUCGGGAAUCUAGAUACAGGUGCUGCAUGGCUGUCGUCAGCUCGUGUCGUGAGAUGUUGGGUUAAGUCCCGCAACGAGCGCAACCCUUUUCCUUACUUGCCAGCAUUUCGGAUGGGAACUUUAAGGAUAC
rnacentral:rRNA from 1 species